UUCAAAGCAUCGGCUGGAGCAGGGUCCCCAUUAAAGCCAGAGACGCUGACGCCAUGGGGCUGGGGUUGGGGCUGGGCCGGGGCUUUGGGAGGUCCGAACUCCCCAGCAGGGAGCCAGGGCUCUGGGCCAGUUCCCAGGCCCAGUUAAUCUUCAGUAGAAUCGAUCGACCUUGGCUCAGAGGGUUGGAGGCAGGGAUGGGCAGGGGGUGAGGGGUGAGGCGCACGAAACAGCACCCGGGUGAGGCCCCUGCUGCGGCCCCUGCGGGACCAGCCACGAAUUCCGGGCUUCAGCCCCGCCAGCUUCAGAGGCGGCGUUUUCGGUGCGACGCUGCCACCUGCUGGCUGUCUGGGAGUUGCACCCAGAGGCUCAGAACCCGUGUUUCUCAGAGGGCCCGGGAGGGGCGAAACUGCGGGUUCCCAGGCCCUCCCGGAUUCUGCGCAGGUGGACGCUGGGGGCUGUUUCACAGGCGCCCACAUGAUAGGGGAGCUGGAGGAACCUGCCGUCUCCGCCAUCGAGCGCCCCUCCGAGCUGGGGUUGGACGCUGCCAGUUUGCACAGCAGCAGGAGCCAGUAGCAGCCCCAGGACAGCUGCCGUGGGAUAAAUAAAAGGAGCCGCCUUCAGGAGCUGCCUGCCGAGUGUCCACAGAACGUAGCGUCUUCCCAGCACUCAGCGGGUCCUGAUGGGCCUCCUUCCCACCGCCCUCUUCCGAGUGUGGGGAGCUCAACCCCUGACUUGGGGUCCCGGGACAUUCAGUUUUGUGUGUGAUCAGGGAGGCAGCGCCUGACCCACAGAAAGCACCUGCUACUGGUGGGGUCUCAGAUCUGUGCACACCUGUGUCCCGGGCUCCUCACUGUCCGGGUGGUCACACUGUCCCUGCGCUGCUGGACUUGGGGGCUUGGGUGCAGCCAGCCUUGUGCUCCUCAGCCUCCCUGGUACAGGAGGACUGUCCAUCUGCCUGGCAGGGGCAAGGCCGUCUUCAGCGGAGAGACCUGGAGGCCACGUGGUCUGCUCAGAAGUACCUGCAUGCAGUUUGAUGCCCUGCUGCAGCAAUCUUGAAAUUCUUAGUAAUUUUAUCUUUGAAUGCUCGCUUUGUAAGUGCAAUCUAAGGAUGGUGGCGUGAGCAUGACUGAAGGAAGCUGGAGAUGGUCAGGGUGCGAGUCCACUGCGGAGCCAGUAGGUGCCAGUGGUUCGAGAGGCCACGCUUUCCCUUGACUCAGAGCUGGCCCCAAGUGCAGAAAGGAGGUGGUGUUGCUCUCAGAUGCCCACACAACCAAGGACACAUCCCCCCCGUCUCCCUGGGACUCCCAUGUGAGCUGGCCACCUGCACUGCAGAUGACGAUGUGGAAGGAGAGAGAAAGACAGGAGACCGCGGCUUUUCCUUUCAGUCCUUCGUACCCAACAGCAACUGAGAGGGCGUCCCGGCAGGGUAUGAAUGGCCAGCAGGACGCUGAGGCUGCGUGGCGUUUCCACCGUGCUGCAGGAACAAGAUGCACAUCGUGCAGGAGCCGCAGAGCACGCGUGCAGAGGUUUCGGUGGCUUUGCCCCGCAGCUAACGUGUGCGUGUGUGCCUUGACUUAUAUUUGCAUUACUUAGAAUGACAUUCAAUAGCAAAUGAAAGACAGCCGGCAAGUCAAUAGAGAGAAUGCGGAAGGAAGGAGAAGGCUUUGUUUGUGGCUCUGAGGGCACUUUUCCUCCUGCAUUUGCAUUUUGCACUGUGCAGAUUUGCACCGUGCAGCCACCCGGGCCUCCUCGGGUCUGGGGCUCCAUUUCCAGCACCCCCACCCAGCGCUGUGGGCCCCUCCCCCACGCACCUCCCCCACUUUGGUGGUGACAGUUGGUUGUGGAGGAACAAUCGUCAGUGAUGGGUGAACUAGCUGUGUUUCACGUGGCCUCCUCAUCACUCUGCCAAGCCCCUGGGGCAGGCACAUUUUGGCUGCCAUCGACUCUAGAAUGUUCUCUGGUGUCUCCAGGGGGUGUGCAGAGCUGGUCCCUCCCAGCGAGGAGCUCUGCUCACAGGUUCACACCCCCUGCCCUGUUCUCCAAGAUGGGAAUGUCUGAUGAGAGCCCCAGAGAAGAAUCAGCCGCUGGGGGUCGGGGAGGUGUUGGACUCUCUUGAAACAAAGGAGGCCCAAGCCUGGGGUCACGGGGCUGGGGGUGGGGGUGGGGUGGGAGGGAGUGGGCAGUGACCUGAGAACAGGAAGGGAGGUGGAGGUCUUGGGUCACGGGUGAUGGAUGAUGGAGGAACAGGCCCAGGAGGCCCUGCUUGCUGGGGGCUUCUUUCCUCUUGCGUAGUCACCCUGUGGGGGGCUCUCAAACUCACAGAGUUUGGCCGUAGGGAAGUGCAGGGGUGGCCUGGGAGGCUGCAGGCUCUGGGACAGCCUGGCUCACACAGGAGAUGGGAUGGCGCUGAGAGGAGACCCCGGGGCGCCCAGCGUCUCAGGCUAUAAGGAGCAGCCACUCAUUGUGACACCCGAUGGUGAAAUGCUGCAUUAUUAUUUAUGGUGUUGAAUAAUCACAGCACAAUCAUUGCAGGCCACAGGGCAGA
rnacentral:lncRNA from 1 species